rnacentral:rRNA from 1 species
AACCUGGCAGAGGUGCUUGU